AUGCCCUCGACACCGCCGUGGACAAAUGUGGCUGAGGGAUUGUUAAUGGAGUACGAGAAGGAAGUGGCGGAGAAGGUGUGGAGAGGCAGGAGGUCUGGGGCGGUGUCACCUGGCUGUGGUGGAGGUGUUUAUGCGAGAAGGAGCCGGAGUGGAAGGAGAGGUGGAAAACAUGAAAUAUUGGUUGUUAUCAAGGAAAGGAAAGUUUGCAAAUGUUAA
rnacentral:rRNA from 1 species